rnacentral:rRNA from 1 species
AGUGAACGCUGGCGGUAGGCCUAACACAUGCAAGUCGAACGGCAGCACAGUAAGAGCUUGCUCUUACGGGCGGCGAGUGGCGUACGGGUGAGGAAUACAUCGGAAUCUACUUUUUCGAGGGGGAUAACGUAGGGAAACUUACGCUAAUACCGUAUACGACCUUCGGGUGAAAGCAGGGGAUCUUCGGACCUUGCGCGAUUGAAUGAGCCGAUGUCGGAUUAGCUAGUUGGCGGGGUAAAGGCCCACCAAGGCGACGAUGCGUAGCUGGUCUGAGAGGAUGAUCAGCCACACUGGAAGUGAGACGCGGUCCAGACUCCUACGGGAGGCAGCAGUGGGGAAUAUUGGACGAUGGGCGGAAGCCUGAUCCAGCCGUACCGCGUGGGUGAAGAAGGCCUUCGGGUUGUAAAGCCCUUUUGUGGUGAAAGAAAAGCAGCAGGUUAAUACCCCGCUGUUCUGACGGUACCCAAAGAAUAAGCACCGACUAACUUCGUG